GAUGAAGAACGUAGCGAAAUGCGAUAAGUAAUGUGAAUUGCAGAAUUCAGUGAAUCAUCGAAUCUUUGAACGCACAUUGCGCCCGCCAGCAUACUGGCGGGCAUGCCUGUUCGAGCGUCAUUUCAACCCUCGAGCCCCCCCGGGGGCCUCGGUGUUGGGGGACGGCACACCAGCCGCCCCCGAAAUGCAGUGGCGACCCCGCCGCAGCCUCCCCUGCGUAGUAGCACACACCUCGCACCGGAGCGCGGAGGCGGUCACGCCGUAAAACGCCCAACUUUCUUAGAGUUGACCUCGGAUCAGGUAGGAAUACCCGCUGAACUUAAGCAUAUCAAUAAGCGGAGG
rnacentral:misc_RNA from 1 species